CCUACGGGAGGCAGCAGUGGGGAAUAUUGCACAAUGGGGGAAACCCUGAUGCCGCGACGCCGCGUGAGUGAAGAAGUAUUUCGGUAUGUAAAGCUCUAUCAGCAGGGAAGAAAAUGACGGUACCUGAUUAAGAAGCACCGGAUAACUACGUGCCAGCAGCCGCGGUAAUACGUAGGGGGCCAGCGUUAUCCGGCUUUACUGGGUGGAAAGGGAGCGUAGACGGCAGCACAAGUCUGGAGUGAAAUGCCGGGGCUUAACCCCGGAACUGCUUUGGAAACUGUGCAGCUAGAGUGCAGGAGAGGUAAGUGGAAUUCCGAGUGUAGCGGUGAAAUGCGUAGAUAUUAGGAGGAACACCAGUGGCGAAGGCGGCUUACUGGACUGUAACUGACGUUGAGGCUCGAAAGCGUGGGGAGCAAACAGGAUUAGAUACCCCGGUAGUC
rnacentral:rRNA from 1 species